GUCAGAACUUAGGGAAGUUUUUAUGAUACCUCACGCCGCGAUAAAAGUUGUUCCCUAAGUUCUUCGCCAGCCACCCCUCUCUUCGCACCAUGCCGCUCAUCCGGACCCUUCUUUGCUCGUUAGGGUUUACUCAUCUCGUUUAUUUCAGCAGCUGCGGCAAAAGGGGGAUGCAUCUUCUUCUCUCUCUUCUCCGAUGCCACAGACAGCGCCACCACCAAAAUACCAUUUCUCUGUCUUCACCUAUCAACCAUUUCCAAGGUUAUGACGAUGAUGAUGAAGAUGAUGCAUAUCUACUAAAAGAUGGUGGCGAGGGAAAUUUUAACCGUUGAAAACUAUACCAUGACUCACAAUCGUUAUUCGUAAAAAUAAAAAAAAAUCUCCAAGAAAAAUUUCAAAUCUUUUUUUUUUGGAAUCGUGCUUAUUUCAA